rnacentral:rRNA from 1 species
UGGGGAAUAUUGCACAAUGGGGGAAACCCUGAUGCAGCAACGCCGCGUGAGUGAUGACGGCCUUCGGGUUGUAAAGCUCUGUCUUCAGGGACGAUAAUGACGGUACCGGGAGAAGAAGCUGCGGCUAACUACGUGCCAGCAGCCGCGGUAAUACGUAGGCAGCAAGCGUUGAUCGGAGUUACUGGGCGUAAAGAGUGCGUAGGCGGUUUUCUAAGUUCGGUGUGAAAUCUCCCGGCUUAACUGGGAGGGUGCGCCGAAGACUGGGAAGCUGGAGUGUGGGAAAGGCAGGCGGAAUUCCUGGUGUAGCGGUGAAAUGCGUAGAUAUCAGGAGGAACACCGGCGGUGUAGACGGCUUGCUAGACCAUAACUGACGCUGAGGCACGAAAGCGUGGGUAGCAAACA